rnacentral:rRNA from 1 species
GACGAACGCUGGCGGCGUGCUUAACACAUGCAAGUCGAACGGAAAGGCCUCUUUCGGGGGGUACUCGAGUGGCGAACGGGUGAGUAACACGUGAGUAACCUGCCCUUGACUUUGGGAUAACUUCAGGAAACUGGGGCUAAUACCGGAUAGGAGCUCCUGCUGCAUGGUGGGGGUUGGAAAGUUUCGGCGGUUGGGGAUGGACUCGCGGCUUAUCAGCUUGUUGGUGGGGUAGUGGCUUACCAAGGCGUUGACGGGUAGCCGGCCUGAGAGGGUGACCGGCCACAUUGGGACUGAGAUACGGCCCAGACUCCUACGGGAGGCAGCAGUGGGGAAGAUUGCACAAGGGGUGGAAGCCUGAUGCAGCAACGCCGUGUGCGGGAUGACGGCCUUCGGGUUGUAAACCGCUUUCGCUCAUGACGAAGCUUUGUGUGACGGUAGCGGGUAAAGAAGCACCGGCUAACUACGUG